rnacentral:ncRNA from 2 species
UUCAAAAACAGAGCGUGUGGUCCCGACCUCGACUUAGUCGAGAUCGCGGAAAACGAGGAGAGGGCAAUUCGAAAUAUCUGCGGGCACCCUCUGGUUGCGGUUGUCAACCAUAAGGCAGCUUAAAAAACUUUGAGUAAUCAAAGCCACAAAAAAGCAGCUGACGACUUCU